CCUACGGGAGGCAGCAGUGGGGAAUAUUGGACAAUGGGGGCAACCCUGAUCCAGCCAUGCCGCGUGUGUGAAGAAGGCUCUCGGGUUGUAAAGCACUUUCAGUGAGGAAGAACGCCUGGUGGUUAAUACCCAUCAGGAAAGACAUCACUCACAGAAGAAGCACCGGCUAACUCCGUGCCAGCAGCCGCGGUAAUACGGAGGGUGCGAGCGUUAAUCGGAAUUACUGGGCGUAAAGCGCGCGUAGGUGGCUUGAUAAGCCGGUUGUGAAAGCCCCGGGCUCAACCUGGGAACGGCAUCCGGAACUGUCAAGCUAGAGUGCAGGAGAGGAAGGUAGAAUUCCCGGUGUAGCGGUGAAAUGCGUAGAGAUCGGGAGGAAUACCAGUGGCGAAGGCGGCCUUCUGGACUGACACUGACACUGAGGUGCGAAAGCGUGGGUAGCAAACAGGAUUAGAUACCCCUGUAGUC
rnacentral:rRNA from 1 species